GGGUCACAUUCCACGUGAUCUGUGACGAAGGUAACACAUUAAGCACCCCGCCUGGGGAGUACGGUCGCAAGACUAAAACUCAAAGGAAUUGACGGGGGCCCGCACAAGCGGCGGAGCAUGCGGAUUAAUUCGAUGCAACGCGAAGAACCUUACCAAGGCUUGACAUAUAGAGGAAAAGCGUAGAAAUACGCUCCCCGCAAGGUCUCUAUACAGGUGGUGCAUGGUUGUCGUCAGCUCGUGUCGUGAGAUGUUGGGUUAAGUCCCGCAACGAGCGCAACCCUCGUCCUAUGUUGCCAGCACGUAAUGGUGGGAACUCAUGGGAGACUGCCGGGGUCAACUCGGAGGAAGGUGGGGAUGACGUCAAAUCAUCAUGCCCCUUAUGUCUUGGGGUUCACGCAUGCUACAAUGGCCAGUACAAAGGGCUGCGAUACCGCAAGGUGGAGCGAAUCCCAUAAAGCUGGUCUCAGUUCGGAUUGAGGUCUGCAACUCGACCUCAUGAAGUCGGAGUCGCUAGUAAUCGUAGAUCAGCAACGCUACGGUGAGUACGUUCCCGGGCCCUGUACACACCGCCCGUCAAGUCACGAAAGUC
rnacentral:rRNA from 1 species